rnacentral:tmRNA from 1 species
GGGGCUGAUUCUGGAUUCGACGGGAUUUGCGAAACCCAAGGUGCAUGCCGAGGGGCGGUUGGCCUCGUAAAAAGCCGCAAAAAAAUAGUCGCAAACGACGAAAACUACGCUUUAGCAGCUUAAUAACCUGCUUAGAGCCCUCUCUCCCUAGCCUCCGCUCUUAGGACGGGGAUCAAGAGAGGUCAAACCCAAAAGAGAUCGCGUGGAGGUCCUGCCUGGGGUUGAAGCGUUAAAACGAAUCAGGCUAGUCUGGUAGUGGCGUGUCCGUCCGCAGGUGCCAGGCGAAUGUAAAGACUGACUAAGCAUGUAGUACCGAGGAUGUAGGAAUUUCGGACGCGGGUUCAACUCCCGCCAGCUCCACCA